rnacentral:rRNA from 1 species
AUGGCGGAGGCCGGCCGUGACUGCACCAAGCUUCCGCUGGCGCUGAUCCCAGGAGGUGUUUUCCAGGCCGCGGCGGCGCUGCGGCUCUUCGUCUUCAAGAAGCCCGACGGUAUGUUCCUCCAUCAUGGCAAGGUGGCCUUCUACCUGUACUACGCCUUGCUGACGGCCGUGGCGCUCUUCGGUUUCGUCGAGGCCUCGCUGGGCUUUUGGGUGGCACGCGACCUGCACGACCGUCGCCGGCAAACUUAUGGGAAGGUGGCCAUGGUGGUCUCCCUCCUCUUCCUCGUCCUCGUUGGUGGCCUGGGUGGUUUUGCCAUGCCAAAGUACUAG